GGGGCUGAUUCUGGAUUCGACGGGAUUUGCGAAACCCAAGGUGCAUGCCGAGGGGCGGUUGGCCUCGUAAAAAGCCGCAAAAAAUAGUCGCAAACGACGAAAACUACGCUUUAGCAGCUUAAUAACCUGCUUAGAGCCCUCUCUCCCUAGCCUCCGCUCUUAGGACGGGGAUCAAGAGAGGUCAAACCCAAAAGAGAUCGCGUGGAAGCCCUGCCUGGGGUUGAAGCGUUAAAACUUAAUCAGGCUAGUUUGUUAGUGGCGUGUCCGUCCGCAGCUGGCAAGCGAAUGUAAAGACUGACUAAGCAUGUAGUACCGAGGAUGUAGGAAUUUCGGCCGCGGGUUCAACUCCCGCCAGCUCCACCA
rnacentral:tmRNA from 1 species